UACGUAGGGUGCGAGCGUUAAUCGGAAUUACUGGGCGUAAAGCGUGCGCAGGCGGUGGCUCAAGCCCGGCGUGAAAUCCCCGGGCUUAACCUGGGAACGGCCGUUGAAACUGGCGAACUGGAGUGUGGCAGAGGGGGGUGGAAUUCCGCGUGUAGCAGUGAAAUGCGUAGAGAUGCGGAGGAACACCGAUGGCGAAGGCAGCCCCCUGGGCUAACACUGACGCUCAGGCACGAAAGCGUGGGGAGCAAACAGG
rnacentral:rRNA from 1 species